rnacentral:rRNA from 1 species
GACGAACGCUGGCGGCGUGCUUAACACAUGCAAGUCGAACGGAAAGGCCCUGCGUUUGUGGGGUGCUCGAGUGGCGAACGGGUGAGUAACACGUGAGUAACCUGCCCUUGACUUUGGGAUAUCUUCAGGAAACUGGGGCUAAUAUCGGAUAGGAGCUCCUGCUGCAUGGUGGGGGUUGGAAAGUUUCGGCGGUUGGGGAUGGACUCGCGGGUUAUCAGCUUGUUGGUGGGGUAGUGGCUGACGAAGGCUUUGACGGGUAGCCCGCCUGAGAGGGUGACCGGCCACCUUGGGCCUGAGAUACGGCGCAGACUCCUACGGGAGGCAGCAGUGGGGAAUAUGGCACAAUGGGCGGAAGCCUGAUGCAGAAACGCCGCGUGCGGGAUGACGGCUUUCGGGUUGUAAACCGAUUUCGCCUGUGCCGAAGCGUGAGUGACGGUAAUGGGUAAAGAAGCACCGGCUAACUACGUG